rnacentral:rRNA from 1 species
AAAAACAUGGCUCUUUGUUUAUAUUACAUAAAGAGUCUGACCUGCCCGGUGAAAUGGUUUUAACGGCCGCGGUAUCUUGACCGUGCGAAGGUAGCAUAAUAAUUUGCUCUAUAAUUGAGGGCUAGUAUGAAUGGUUUGACGUGAGCAAUACUGUCUCUGCAUUAAUUUUUUAGAAUUUGAUUUUUAUGUGAAGAAACUUAAAUUACAUUAAAAGACAAGAAGACCCUAUUGAGCUUUAAAAAAGUUUUUAGAAUAAAAUUUUAUUAGUUAAAAAGCUUUAUCUAUUAAAUAUUUUGGUUGGGGCGACUAAGGAACAAAUAAAGCUUCCUAUAUUUUAAAAGUUUUGCAAAUGUUGAUCCAAAUUUUUUGAUUAAAGAAAUUAGUUACCAUAGGGAUAACAGCAUAAUUUCCUUUAAGAGUUCAUAUUGAAAAGGGAGUUUGUGACCUCGAUGUUGGACUAGAAUAUCCUAAAGAUGUAGCAGUCUUUAAGGGUUGGUCUGUUCGACCAUUAAAAUUCUACGUGAU